rnacentral:rRNA from 1 species
GACGAACGCUGGCGGCGUGCUUAACACAUGCAAGUCGAACGGAGUGGCGAACGGGUGAGUAACACGAGGGUGACCUGCCCUGCACUUCGGGAUAACCCUGGGAAACUGGGUCUAAUACCGGAUAGUGUGGGAUGGGCCCGCGGCCUCUCAGCUUGUUGGAGGGGUAAUGGCCUACCAAGGCGGCGACGGGUAGCCGGCGUGAGGGGGUGGACGGCCACAUGGGGACAGUGACACGGCCCAGACUCCUACGGGAGGCAGCGGUGAGGAAUAGUGCAUAAUGGGCGGAGACCUGAUGCAGCGACGCCGCGUGGGGGAUAACGGCCUGCGGGUUGUAGACUCCUUGCACCAGCGACGCGUGGGAUGGAGGAGAAGCACCGGCUGACUCCGUGUCAGCAGCCGCGGUAAUUC